GUGUGUGUGUAUGUCAGUGUGUCUGUAUGUCAGUAUGUCUGUCAUAGACACACACAGACAUACUGACAUACAUACACAAACAGACAU
rnacentral:miRNA from 1 species